GAAUUGACGAAAGUUCAGUCAAGUUACAUUUAAAUUUUGAUAGAUAGGUUCUAUCUGUUUCAUUUCUUGUUUAGCACAUUAACGAAUGAUUACUGUAAUCAAUUUUGAAUUAGCAUUACAAAAUUUUGUGGUCAUGAAGAAGUUCCCAUUAGAUGGGGAAAGCUAGGAACGUAAACAGAACAAAAGAAAAGGAGGGUGAUACUUCAUAUUCCUCCAACUGCUAUGUAACUU
rnacentral:misc_RNA from 1 species